UACGUAGGGUGCGAGCGUUAAUCGGAAUUACUGGGCGUAAAGCGUGCGCAGGCGGUUUUGUAAGCCAGAUGUGAAAUCCCCGGGCUUAACCUGGGAAUGGCAUUUGGGACUGCAAGGCUGGAGUGUGGCAGAGGGGACUGGAAUUCCUGGUGUAGCAGUGAAAUGCGUAGAGAUCAGGAGGAAUACCGAUGGCGAAGGCAGGUCCCUGGGUUAACACUGACGCUCAUGCACGAAAGCGUGGGGAGCAAACAGGAUUACGAGUACCCCAG
rnacentral:rRNA from 1 species